rnacentral:rRNA from 1 species
UUGCUGGGAUGGAUCAGUGGCGAACGGGUGAGUAACACGUGAGCAACCUGCCCUCCACUUCGGGAUAAGCCUUGGAAACGGGGUCUAAUACCGGAUAUGAGCCUGCAUCGCAUGGUGUGGGUUGGAAAGUUUUUCGGUGGGGGAUGGGCUCGCGGCCUAUAAGCUUGUUGGUGGGGUGAUGGCCUACCAAGGCGUCGACGGGUAGCCGGCCUGAGAGGGCGACCGGCCACACUGGGACUGAGACACGGCCCAGACUCCUACGGGAGGCAGCAGUGGGGAAUAUUGCACAAUGGGCGCAAGCCUGAUGCAGCGACGCCGCGUGAGGGAUGACGGCCUUCGGGUUGUAAACCUCUUUCAGCAGGGAAGAAGCGCAAGUGACGGUACCUGCAGAAGAAGCGCCGGCUAACUACGUGCCAGCAGCCGCGGUAAUACGUAGGGCGCAAGCGUUGUCCGGAAUUAUUGGGCGUAAAGAGCUCGUAGGCGGUCUGUCGCGUCUGGUGUGAAAUCCCGAGGCUCAACCUCGGGCUUGCAUCGGGUACGGGCAGACUAGAGUGCGGUAGGGGAGACUGGAAUUCCUGGUGUAGCGGUGGAAUGCGCAGAUAUCAGGAGGAACACCGAUGGCGAAGGCAGGUCUCUGGGCCGCAACUGACGCUGAGGAGCGAAAGCAUGGGGAGCGAAC